AAGGUCUAACCUGCCCAAUGAAAUUUUAAAUGGCCGCAGUAUAUUGACUGUGCAAAGGUAGCAUAAUCAUUAGUUUUUUAAUUAAAAGCUUGUAUGAAGGGUUGGACGAGAUAAAAUCUGUCUUAAUUUAAUUUAUUUUAGAAUUUAAUUUUUAAGUUAAAAAGCUUAAAUGUUAUUAAAAGACGAGAAGACCCUAUAGAUCUUUAUAAUUUUUAUAUUAUUAUUAUUUUAGAAUUAUAAAUUUAUUAAUAUAGUGAUUAUUUUAUUGGGGUAAUAUAAAGAUUUAAAUAAUUCUUUAAUAAUUUUAACAUUGAUUUAUGAUUAUUUGAUCCAUUAUUAUUGAUUAUAAGAUUAAGUUACCUUAGGGAUAACAGCGUAAUUUUUUUAGAGAGUUCAUAUCGAUAAAAAAGUUUGCGACCUCGAUGUUGGAUUAAAAAUUAUCUUAGGUGCAGUAGUUUAAGAUUUUGGUCUGUUCGACCAUUAAAUUUUU
rnacentral:rRNA from 1 species